CCGAACGUAACCAAGUCACCCCGGUCGGCGGCUCUCUCCCUCGACGGCGCUCAACCCCGGUCGGCUCUCCCCCUCGACGGCGCUAACCCCGGCCUGCCGCGUCUCUCCGCCCCGUCCUCGAAGGCGCUAACCCCCGCCCGGCUGCGGCGCCCCUCCGUCUCUCCCUCGACGUCGCCCACCACCCCAGUCGGCUCUAUCCCUCGACGGAGCUAACCCCGGCCGGCUGCGUCGCUCCGUCUUCUUCCUCGACGGCAGCGCUCUCCCCCAGCCGUUGAAUGAUCUAAACUUUAUGCUUCUUGAAGAUGAUCAAAGCAGUUGAUGAAAUCUAGCUGCAAAGUUUACUAUUUCUGUGGAUUUGUUAAUCUUGAAGAUGCACAAAGAGACUACAUCUCCAGCAUUGAAUGCUGACAAAAUAGAAGUUCCAUCACCCAAGGAAGAAAGUAACAAUUCCACAAAUUCUGAAGAUACUGAACACUUUGAAGUUAGCGACGAUGAUGACGAUGAUCGUAAUCACAAGCACCGAAGAAGAGAGGCUAUACCUCAAUCUUUUGAUGAGGAUACCGAGGAGCAGGCUGCAGGGAGGCCUUUCAAAAGAAGGGCCAUGGUUUCUGGUAAUGGACAACCUUCUGGUGGAGCUGAUUCACGUGGGGAUGCACAGAACUUUUUACCAAAAUUCAAGAGGCGUCCUGGACCAGGAGCUCACAGUCGGGGAGCUAGAGGGAACCAGUCCUUCCAUUCAGCUUCCUCUGCUGCUCGCCCUCCUAUGUCACGUGGAAGAGGACGUAAUGGUGCGCCCUGGACUCAGCAUGACCCAAGAUUUAACACACUUGACAUGAUUGAUUUUGCAUCACAGAUGGCCUCACAAGGACCACCAACACAUCCUAGCUUAUUUAUGCGCGCUCCGUUGCCGAGUAGCGGCAGUGGUCAGAAUGGUUCAUGGGGUCCAUAUGGAUUUAUGCCUGGAAUGCCUAGUCGAAUGCUGGAUCCAAUUCACCCACUUGGAAUGCAGGGCCCUAUUCAGCCUGCAAUAUCUCCUUUAAUUGAUCUUGGCAUGCCUCGUCAACGUUGUAGAGACUUCGAGGAGCGUGGAUUUUGCUUGAGAGGGGAUAUGUGCCCAAUGGAGCAUGGUGUAAAUAGAAUUGUUGUUGAAGACAUGCAGAGUCUAUCACAGUUCAAUCUUCCGGUCUCAGUUCCAAAUGCUCCAGGACUGGGAAUCCAAAAUGAAGCAGGAACUGCUCAUGUUAACUUAACAAACCUAGGAGGCAGUAAAGGUGUUCCUGCAAAAGAUAUCAAAUCUGGUGUGACAGAUGAUGCAUUAAAGCUAAAUGGAGGCACUACUUCAGCUGUUGCUGACGCUGAUGUAUAUGAUCCUGAUCAGCCUCUGUGGAACAAUGAACAGCCUGAAGCAUCUUCUGCUGGUUUUGCACAUACUAAUGAUGGAGUUUGGAAUGCUGAAACCUCGAGCCAUGAAGCUGGGUGGAAGCAUGCAAACCAGGGUUUCGCAGCCGAGAAUUCAAAGUCUUCCGUUUGGGGCAGAAUAGCAUCAAAGAGAAAAUCAGGACCUGGUAAAACAGCUAAUACUAUUUCGACAAGUGCCACUGAAAACCAAAAAAGUGACUAUUAUGAUGACAUGGCACCCAGCACAGUCCAAGUAAACCCUGCUUCUACUAAGGAUACUAAUGGUCAAUCCAAUUCAAGAAUAUUUGGAGAUGUGGGCCGGCAAAGUAAUCAAGCCUCCUCUAACAAAGCAUCUCGCACACUUUAUGUAAAUGGCAUUCCUCAAGAAAGCAACAGAUGGGAUGCCCUUCUUUCACACUUUCAGAAAUUUGGUCAAGUAAUAGAUAUCUAUAUUCCAUCCAACAGUGAAAAAGCUUUCAUCCAGUUCUCUAAAAGGGUAGAAGCUGAAGCUGCCCUAAAAGCUCCAGACGCUGUGAUGGGCAACCGUUUUAUAAAGCUUUGGUGGGCCAACAGAGAUAGGAUUACUGACGAAGGAGAGAGUAGAAUAUCUGCUAAAUCUCUGCUGACCAGUUCUGCUGUACCUCAACCAUCUUCAUCCAACAGAGGAAAAAAUCUUCAAUCUACAGCUCCAAGUGCCACUUCUAGAUCUUCUACUGAAGCAUCAGGUCCUGGUACAGGUCAUAAACCGUUGCCUGCAAACAAUAUGACAUCGGUGCCUCCUGCUCCCAAAAGGCAAGAAAGUCUGGAAAUGCUGGAAGAACUUCGUAAGAAGCAAGACAUGUUAGCUCAGAAGCGUGAUGAGUUACGCCGCCAGUUAGAGACAUAUGUGAACCAAAAAAGUUCGGCAAAUUCAGCAAAACAGGCAGCGGCUGGCGGAAAAGAAGUUUUGUCCAAUGCUGUGAGGAAAGUGGGAGAUGGAAGGUCCAUGAACGCUAGGACAGAAGGGCCACAAGCGGUUGCUGGUACACUGGAAAAGAAAAUUUCUGGGGAGUUGGCUUCAUCUUCCCCAAAAUAUGCUCCAACAUCCACACAGAAAUCAGUUGUAGCUGUGAAGCAGAUGUCUCCUCUGUUAGCACCGCCACAGAAUAGGUUUAAGCUUGACAACAGGACCACAUCGUUUAGAAUCCUUCCACCUUUGCCACCUGAAAUUGCAAAUGAAUCUGUCUUGAAAGAUCAUUUUGCAUCAUUUGGGGAGCUUUCAUCUGUUGUUCUGGAAGACACUGAAGCCCAUAACCAUGAUAUGACCUUAAAACCUUCUCUGAGUUGCUCGGCUUGUGUGACAUACACAACGCGGCAAUCUGCUGAGAAAGCAUUUAUUGGUGGCAAAUCUUGUAAAGGGCAUAUGCUACGGUUUAUGUGGUUGACGGCCUCUCCUGGCUCAAAUAACCAAUCGAGAACCCACAAAACUUCAAUUUCUGUCAAGACCUCUGGCAUCUCAGGCCAAACUCGAAACAUGGCAUCCGAGUCCCCAAUUCCUGUUGGAAAAAUCUCAUCCACUGUCACAUCUGGUCCGACAACUAUUCCUCAUAGUGAAUCCGUCCCAACUGAAGAAAGUUCGAAGACAUUUCCUGUUGGAAUUUCCAAGGCAUCAUCUUCUAGUUCCUCUUUAUCAUCAAAUGUUGAGUGCCCUUCUGAAGAUGCCACAAGGAAUGCUGUCUCUAAGAAUUCUGACGUUCCACAGUGAGGGUCUUAAAAACUGGUGGGAACCAGCCGGUUACCUCUAAUUUCUAGUUUCCUUGGAGGUGAUGGAGUGAAGAAUUGAUGACACUCCUGACCGUAAGCCCCCCUGAAAACCUGGACAACUAAUUUGGGGCCAAAACUGUUAAAAGCGAUAAAAUGGAAAGGCAUACUGGGCAUUUCGCCGACAUAUUGGAAAACUCAUUGUCCAAUAUCAACUUGUGAGAAAAUGUUGCCAGCGUUUAAUUACUGUAUACAAGUCUCAGCUUGGACAUCGUGAGUAGCAUCCUGCUGAAACCGGCUCGCGACGAUGCGAAACUAGCUCUGCAUCUUAUAGACUUCUUGCUGAAACAAGCUCCGUGUGGAUUCGAUCUGUCCCAGCAAACCUCUGAUCACCAUUGGCACCUUAGGAUCCCUGUGCUAAAAGAUGUUAUUGUGCAUAUUGAAACAACACAAUACCUUGAUGGAAUUUUUGCGACCUUAGUAUAUCUACUUCCGCUGCACUAUCAUGUUUAUUAUCUACA